GAUGAACGCGGGCGGGCGUGCUUAACACAUGCAAUUCGAACCGGGAACACGGAGCUUUGCUCUGUGGGAUCAGGGGCGAACGGGUGAAGUAACACGUGAGCAACCUGCCCCUGACUCUGGGAUACGCGCUGGAAACGGCGUCUUAAAUACUGGAUAUGUGACGUUGACCGCAUGGUCUGCGUUUGGAAAGAUUUUUCGGUUGGGGAUGGGCUCGCGGCCUAUCAGCUUUGUUGGUGAGGUAAUGGCUCACCAAGGCGUCGACGGGUAGCCGGCCUGAGAGGGUGACCGGCCACACUGGGACUGAGACACGGCCCAGACUCCUACGGGAGGCAGCAGUGGGGAAUAUUGCACAAUGGGCGAAAGCCUGAUGCAGCAACGCCGCGUGAGGGAUGACGGCCUUCGGGUUGUAAACCUCUUUUAGCAGGGAAGAAGCGAAAGUGACGGUACCUGCAGAAAAAGCGCCGGCUAACUACGUGCCAGCAGCCGCGGUAAUACGUAGGGCGCAAGCGUUAUCCGGAAUUAUUGGGCGUAAAGAGCUCGUAGGCGGUUUGUCGCGUCUGCUGUGAAAUCCCGAGGCUCAACCUCGGGCCUGCAGUGGGUACGGGCAGACUAGAGUGCGGUAGGGGAGAUUGGAAUUCCUGGUGUAGCGGUGGAAUGCGCAGAUAUCAGGAGGAACACCGAUGGCGAAGGCAGAUCUCUGGGCCGUAACUGACGCUGAGGAGCGAAAGGGUGGGGAGCAAACAGGCUUAGAUACCCUGGUAGUCCACCCCGUAAACGUUGGGAACUAGUUGUGGGGUCCAUUCCACGGAUUCCGUGACGCAGCUAACGCAUUAAGUUCCCCGCCUGGGGAGUACGGCCGCAAGGCUAAAACUCAAAGGAAUUGACGGGGACCCGCACAAGCGGCGGAGCAUGCGGAUUAAUUCGAUGCAACGCGAAGAACCUUACCAAGGCUUGACAUAUACGAGAACGGGCCAGAAAUGGUCAACUCUUUGGACACUCGUAAACAGGUGGUGCAUGGUUGUCGUCAGCUCGUGUCGUGAGAUGUUGGGUUAAGUCCCGCAACGAGCGCAACCCUCGUUCUAUGUUGCCAGCACGUAAUGGUGGGAACUCAUGGGAUACUGCCGGGGUCAACUCGGAGGAAGGUGGGGAUGACGUCAAAUCAUCAUGCCCCUUAUGUCUUGGGCUUCACGCAUGCUACAAUGGCCGGUACAAAGGGCUGCAAUACCGUGAGGUGGAGCGAAUCCCAAAAAGCCGGUCCCAGUUCGGAUUGAGGUCUGCAACUCGACCUCAUGAAGUCGGAGUCGCUAGUAAUCGCAGAUCAGCAACGCUGCGGUGAAUACGUUCCCGGGCCUUGUA
rnacentral:rRNA from 1 species